UCCCUUCCCACACACAGGCUCCAUGAGGGCAAAGCACACCUCCCUCAGAGACGGUGGUCCUCUCUGUCCUGAGCAUGCGCUGACCGUGUGCACAGUCUGGAAGGAGUGAGCAGCCUUCCCCGGCUUCUGAUAGUGCUGGGACUGCCGGAUGACUCAUGCUCUGGUUUCUCAAAGUGGAAAGAAAAGGUUGUUCUGGACUGGACUCUAGGAAUCGGAGGCCUCGAGGAACCGCUGCACCCACAGUGAGCCUACUAAGAACGAUGGCGAAGGCAACGGCACAGGCAUGAGGCAGAGGGUGAACAUCAGCUUUGGGGACCUUCUGAUGGAGGCUGUUGUCACUCAGACAUGCUUCCCACUGAAUGAGCAUCUGGGACUUCUGGGCAGUCACAGUGACUACCAUGGUAUGCAUUUGGUUCUGUGCCACACAGUUUAGGAAGCCCCUUGGCCACAGCAGGUUCACAGCCAGGCGUGAGUUCUACACAGAGGCAACUUACACUAACUACAGCACCGGGUUAAGGGAGACACAGCUGAACUCUCCACCACCUGGGGACUGAGUGGAUAAAAGAGACACAAAAUAGAAUUCCCCAAAUAGUAACCCCAAAGUUGAUGGGGAUGGUGGGGGGGUAUGGAAAUAGGAGAACACUGUGGUUUGCUCACCAGCCAGCCCUGCAUGAAAAAUAAAAUGGUACAUACCCGGUUGGGCAAGGUACCCUGUCUCAGGGUGAUAAGACAGUUUGGGCCAGAGAGCUUACAGCCAGUGUCCUCCUUCGGUGUCCGCACGUGCAUAACACACACACACACACACACACACACACACACACACACACGAGCGAGAGGAACAAA